GUUGGUUGGUUUUUUGAUUCUGAGAGAGCCGGACGUGGCCCACGUGGCGACGUGGGUUCGGAGUUGUGGUGAACUUGCGAAGGUUGCUACGACUGUCGUCUGCUCUUUUGCCGGGACCGCUACUUUGGUUCGCACCCUUGCAUCAACAUUUUGAGGAAAUCCUGGAACUUUUUCACCACUUUGGACCGCCUUCGUCAACAUCAGCUGUUUCCCCGCCGCAAGUCCGGCAACCGCUGGUACGCAAACAAAGCCUACUUGGAGGAUCCCUUCAAAAGCUGUCACUACCGUCCGAGCAACUUGGGCACGGCACCACCGCCGCUGCAAUGUCCUACAAACAUCCCGUUCAUUCCCAGGUAGUACAGGCCCCCCGAUCGGUGCACACUGCCCGCAGGUGGUUAAUUCUUCCUCACUGGGUUGGCCUGGCCCUUGGCUCGAGCACUGGCAGCCGCAUCCCCCAGAGCUCAACGUGCUGGGGUCGUGUACUGUCGAAACGGAGUUUUCUGCCCCCGUUGAAAACCCGGGUCUCCGUUAUUGGUGCAGCCGACUCCUGGCCCCCUGGAUGUGUGCACUCUUGGCCGGGAAGCGAGGGCGGACCACUUCCUGGGUUCCCCGCCGAGGAACAUGCAGGUGGGUCCAGACUCUGAUGUUUUGUACCACCGUUGUCCUCGGAAGUUUCUCAAUGGUUGCGGUGUCUUGGAGAUCGACUGCCACAAUGUUUUUUUCUCGUGUUUACCCGCACCGCUUUCGCCUGUCCGUCCGUGGCAAGCGACAAGGCUCGUGCGACUUGCAGUUUGUUUUUCAUCAGAAAUUUCCGUGCCAUUAGAGCUAUUUAGGUGCAAGGAGGGCAAGUUUUCACAAUCUGCUUACUUAACUUGGUCAAUUCUUUUCGAGUGUCCAGACAUUGUAACGUAUUUCC